ensembl:lncRNA
GGCACCUGAUAGCUGAAGCUACAAAAAAAUCAAACUUACUAAAUAGUAUAAAGACAGGAGACAGCACCCAAAGCAGCCGAGACCUAGCCCACCCUGGCUGAAAGACGGUGACUCCUGUGCCGAAGCAGAGGCUGACAUGGGUGAACAGGACUGCCUGGGGCAGAGCUGUGACCGCUGGGAAACAGAUGUCUUUUCUGCUGCUGAGCAGACUGGCAGGCAGCCGGUGAUGGGGCCCUACUUGGAAGACCCCCUCCUCUGCUGGCUCCUGCGAUUCUUCAGCCUCCUCGUCAGUGUCUACAGCAGUGGGACCAAUGGUGGAGGCCCUGCUCCUGGAGUUCAGGAUUCUGGAGCUCCUGAUCCUCUGCAGGGGAUCCGAGGAGGUUCUGUGCUGUUUCCUUUGCCCAAGAAGCAAGACGCUGAGCUGGAGGAGGGCACGUGGGGCUUUGGUCCUGGGUCAGAGUACAGAGUCCUGCUGCGAGUCCGUCCUGGGAAAGCUCCCACCUGGGUCAGCCUCCAGGACAGGUACCAGCAGAGGGUCCAUGUGCCCAACAUGACGUCCCUGAAGAUUGAGAACCUGACCCCUGAGGACAGUGGGCUGUACCGGGCUCGAGUUAGCUUCACUGGAGGAGUAGAACUUACCAAGGUUUUCCACCUCACUGUCUAUGAGCCAGUGACCAUUCCCCAGAUCCUGGUCCACUCAUCAUCCAUCACACCAGGCUGGUGCAAUGUUACCAUGGAGUGCAGGACCUCAGGGGACGCAGAGGACCUGAAGGUGACCUGGGAGGGCAAGGGCCUCCCCAGGGAGCUGGAGGAGAGAGUGACAUCAGGACCAACCCCCAAUUCGUGGACCCUGGCUGUGCACCUGCCCCAGAGCCAGCCCUACACCAACAUCACCUGUGUGGUCAGCAACGAAGUGGACCAGAAAACUGCCACCUUCAACCUUGGGGAAGUCUGUGUCCAUGGUUCACAUGGACAAGCCAAAGCUGUUGCCCUGCCAGGCAUCUUAGGGGCAGGGGCUACUGUGGCUACACUAUUACUGAUCCUUGGAAUUGGACUCUGCCUUUGGAAGAAGAAGAAGAAGAAGAAGAUGGAGACUGCAAGAGGAUUGCAGGAGGAGUCUAAGGACCGUGACGGUGGCAUCCAAUAUGUAGAGCUGAGCCAGCAGGAUUCUCGAGAGAGCACGGACCAGGGUGAUGGUGAACGACGUCUAAAUGAAAAGGAGUCUCUUAAUACUGUCUACAGUGAGGUCCAUAAGCCAGCAAGUGUGCCCAUGAAGAUAAUUUAAUUGGAGGAGGCAGAAGAAUUGACACUCCUAGGACACCUCCAUUCUGAAUUUGAUCCCUGCAGAUACCUGCCCCUACGAGUGCUGGUCCAGCACCAGCUGCCUCUGGUCUGCAUUCCUCUGACCUUUGUGCCCUCAACUCCCUGGGCUCACGUGGCCCUGUCACUUCCUCUGUCAACUCUAUAUGCUGCCUUCCACUCAGGUUCCUCACUCCAGAAGGACUAGUGCUCUUUCUCCGUCAUUGACUCUGCUCCUGAUUCCUCUCCUUCUGAAGUUUCCCUAGGAGGAUCUCCCUACCUGUGCAUGUGUUCAUCCCCACAGCCUCUGCGCUGUGGCUGGUGUGUAUCUUUCUGAGAACAGGAGCCUGGGCGUGGGGACUGUGUGGAGGUUUCGACUACACCAUAGAGGGAGUUAGGAACUUGGAGCUGGGUGUUGAGCUGAGUGUCCAUGGAGGUGGCCUGGAUGGAUGGGUAGGAGCCUACAAAAGACGGGCCUGAGGCGUCCUUUGUAUGGCAAAAGGUGUUGGAGGGACUGUCUAGUAUACAUCAUACAUGGGGGCCAGAGCCCUUGAUCCUGAUCACCCAUACUAACCUCAGCUUCAGCUCAUGGGCCUUAAAUCCAUCUCUCGUGGAAUGUGAAGAGGAAUUUGUAUUGUCUCUGGUCCUUCCAAGCCAACUCCUUUUCAGAGAAAGACCCCAGGAACCCAAUGUUGGGACUCUGUGUUCUUCCCUGUCUGGGCCAGGGGUUCUUGUCAUUAGAAUGGUCAUGCAGGGAGUUCCUGUUUUGCAGCAGUGGAAACAAGUGCUACUGGUAUCCAUGAGGAUGCAGGAUCCAGUAUUGCUGUGAGCUGUGGUGUAGGUCGCAGAUGCGGCUUGGAUCCCACAUUGCUGUGGCUAUGGUGUAGGCUGGCAGCUAUAGCUCUGAUUUGACCCUUAGCCUGGGAAUUUCCACCUCCAUGUGCUGUGGGUGUGGCCCUAAAAAGAAAAAGAAAAAGAAUGGUAGUGCAUGUUCCCCCACCACCCCCAUGGUGAGGCUGCUAUGAGGUGUGAAGGGUGAAACUUAGGGGAAGGUCUGAACCAGCCCUCUCCUGCCUCUUCUACUGACCCUCAGACCCCACAGUCCUGCUGGCCUCAGAUCCUGGGUCAGUCUCCUCUUUGCUCACUCACAUCCCUCUGCCUGGAAUGAUGGAUCCUUUACCCUGUCUCUUAUUCCCAUCCCUGGCUGUUGAAAACCUACCAACCCACCCAAAGCCUCUCUUCAAGUCACGUGUUCCAGGGAGCCUGUCUGCUACCAAGAGUUGGAAAUGUCCUCUCCCACAUCUGACCUUCUUGAACACCAUGGACAUAACUAAGGCCCUUGCUGCUAUCGGCCAUGGACUGGUCAUGCCAGACUUGCCUAGGGCUCCCUCAAGAGGGUGUUGGGGUUUAGGAGGCAAGGACCAAGAAGACAAACACCUGUCUCUAAGCCUCCUCACAACUUCCACGGGGACUCAGCAGACUGAGACCCAGAGCACAGAGGCUGCUGAAGGUCUCGCUGGUGGUGAGCCCACUUGGAAGCAAAGAGGGAUGUGAUGACCUCCCAUGACCUUGCCUGGCCCAGAGAUCUGAGGAGGGGCUUCCCCACCCCAUCUCCAGCCUCCCAUUGCCUGAGGACCUGAUACAGCCUGCACUGUGCUGUGUGGGGUCUUCUCCUCCCCCUGGGGGUUUUCAUCUCAUCAAAGCCUCUGCCUCCUGCCUUCGGUCUCAGCUCUUGGGUCAGAGAUGGGCUCGCUCUGGAACGAUGAUCUGUGGAAACUUGACUGCUGGUCUAGAUUCCUGGAUUUCUUGGUUCCCUUCCCAGCUCAGCAAGCUCAGCUGAUUCACCUCUAACUUCAGAAAGCAAAGUUCUGAGCUAAAACCUUGAGCAUGAUGAAGCAAGGCUGGGAGCCUUCUUCCCAUGGAUAAAGGAGGAUGAGAGUUUCAAUAAUAAAGCUGUUUCUAACCUCUUUCUGCUCAGGCUGAACAGAAGGCUAAGAGAAAAAGAGGAGGUCUGCCACUGGCCUCCCAGGUGACCGGUCAUGCCUGGGUGUCAGUGCCCAUCAGCCCAGAAGCAAUGUAAGAGGUGACUACCCAUUGAUCCCUCCCCUCCAACCUAUAGCA